AUCUUUGUAGCCCUCCUCUGGACACUCUCCAACAGUUUCACAUCCUUUUUGUACUGUGGUGCCCAGACCUGCACACAGUGCUCGAGGUGAGGCCGCACCAGCACAGAGUAGAGCGGGACAAUCCCUUCUCUCGACCGACUAGCGAUGCCAUGCUCGAUGCACCCCGGGGUACGGUUGGCCCUCCUGGCUGCCAGGGCACACUGUGGCUCAUGUUCAGCUUGCUAUCAACCACAACCCUCAGAUACCCCAUCCCUCUGCGGAGCUGCUCUGCAG